rnacentral:rRNA from 1 species
GUGAUUCAUAAUCGUCUUUCGGAUCGCUGGCGCAAGCCGGCGACACACCGUUCGAAUUUCUGACCUAUCAACUUUCGAUGGUAAGGUAGUGUCUUACCAUGGUGGCAACGGGUAACGGACCGUGGGUGCGGGACUCC